AGGUCCCACCGUGCCCAGGAGCGGCGCCUGCGGGCGACCCGGACGGCCUGGGCUCUCCAUGGGCUCGAGGAACCACACCGGGCUCCCUGGCGGCGCCGCCAGGCAGAGUCGGAGGCGAGAUCACCCGAGUUCCCCGGGCUCCCGUGGCCUGACCUCACCCAUACCUCGCCGCGUCCUCCAGGUCGCUGUCAAGCCGCCCACGCUGCGAACCCGCCAUCGCCGCGUCCGCUCUAGGAAACUGGGAGGAUUGCUCGGCUCUAUGAUUGUCCUAGAUUUGUUGCUUUGUGGAGUCUUACCAAAGAUGUUGCCUUCUGAGGCUGAGAAGUCAGCUUGGACUCUAACUGUUUGAUCAGUCAGCCAAAACACGACCCUAGGCCCAGCUGUGGUCCACACCAGCUGACACUGAAGAGGUUCCUCUCAGUAAGGUAAAAGGAAUUCAGAGGUUUCCAGAGAUACCAGGAGUGAUAAUACAGGCAUGGGAAAUGAUAGGAGAUUCUCAAGAAUGAAACUGAUAGGUCACUCACCAAUACUCUACCUGAUUUCUAUUUCCUAUUACAUUUCUUUUUAGGGGAAACUAGGCCAAACUAACACAUGACUUAGGCAUAGAUUCUAAUCUUUUUUGGGUAAUAUAACUACUUUGAGAAUAUAAUAAAAACUACAGAUCUCUUCCUCAGGAAGUUAGAGGAAAGACUUAUAUGUGAAAUUUUGCUUAUCAUGUAUUAUAUUGUAUUCAAAAUUAAUUUCUUUUGAUAGACCA